rnacentral:tRNA from 1 species
GGCAGGGUAGCUCAGGUGGUUUAGAGCGUCGGAUUCAUAACCCGAAGGUCGGGGGUUCAAGUCCCCCCCCCGCCACCA